GGGGAUAUAGCUCAGUGGCACAGUGCCUGCCUGGCAAGCAGAAGAUCCUGAGUUCAAGUCCCAAUACCCA
rnacentral:tRNA from 1 species